ACUCCUACGGGAGGCAGCAGUGGGGAAUAUUGCACAAUGGGCGCAAGCCUGAUGCAGCCAUGCCGCGUGUGUGAAGAAGGCCUUCGGGUUGUAAAGCACUUUCAGCAGUGAGGAAGGCGGAGUCGUUAAUAGCGGCCUCGUUUGACGUUAGCUGCAGAAGAAGCACCGGCUAACUCCGUGCCAGCAGCCGCGGUAAUACGGAGGGUGCGAGCGUUAAUCGGAAUUACUGGGCGUAAAGCGCAUGCAGGUGGUUUGUUAAGUCAGAUGUGAAAGCCCGGGGCUCAACCUCGGAAUAGCAUUUGAAACUGGCAGACUAGAGUCUUGUAGAGGGGGGUAGGAAUUUCAGGUGUAGCGGUGAAAUGCGUAGAGAUCUGAAGGAAUA
rnacentral:rRNA from 1 species